rnacentral:rRNA from 1 species
CAAUAGCGUAUAUUAAAGUUGUUGCAGUUAAAAAGCUCGUAGUUGGAUUUCUGGUGGGAGCGAUCGGUCUGGCGCUUAGCGCGAGUACUUGCAUCGUCUCCGGCCAUCCUUGGGGAGAGUCUGUCUGGCAUUAAGUUGUCGGGCAGAGGAUCCUCAUCGUUUACUGUGAAAAAAUUAGAGUGUUCAAGGCAGGCUUAUGCCGUUGAAUAUAUUAGCAUGGAAUAAUAAGAUAGGACUUUGGUACUAUUUUGUUGGUUUGCGCACCAAAGUAAUGAUUAAUAGGGACAGUUGGGGGUAUUCGUAUUCCGUUGUCAGAGGUGAAAUUCUUGGAUUUACGGAAGACGAACUACUGCGAAAGCAUUUACCAAGGAUGUUUUCAUUAA